AAUCAAUUUCUUGUUGUUGUUCACUCGAUCGAUGUUUCUUGGGCUUAAAUAAAUUUAAACCUCACAUGGUCGGCCCAUUGGUGGUCUAAUGAUCUCAUCAAAAUCGAUUACUUUGAUCUUGUACGAAUCCAACGAGGCUUGGUCUACCGACGUAGAUUGUUUGAAACAAGAAAAUCAAACAAAAUAAAACUGUCACCACAAGGUCCACAAACAAAUCUCGAACUACACUAGGGUUUCAGAUUUGCAUACAAAUAUCGAGCUUACAAAAAAAUCGAAC
rnacentral:lncRNA from 1 species